rnacentral:rRNA from 1 species
UACGUAGGGGGCUAGCGUUGUCCGGAAUCAUUGGGCGUAAAGAGCGUGUAGGCGGUCCGGUAAGUCCGCUGUGAAAGUCGGGGGCUCAACCCUCGAAUGCCGGUGGAUACUGUCGGGCUAGAGUGCGGAAGAGGCGAGUGGAAUUCCUGGUGUAGCGGUGAAAUGCGCAGAUAUCAGGAGGAACCACCAAUUGCGAAGGCAGCUCGCUGGGACGUGACUGACGCUGAGACGCGAAAGCGUGGGGAGCAAACAGG